AACGAACGCUGGCGGCGCGCCUAACACAUGCAAGUCGAACGAGAAGGCGUAGCAAUACGCUUGUAGAGUGGCGAACGGGUGAGUAAUACGUGGGUGACCUACCCUCGAGUGGGGAAUAACCCGCCGAAAGGCGGGCUAAUGCCGCGUACGCUUCCGUCCUCACGGGGACGGAAGGAAAGCUGUACCGUGGGUACGGCGCUCAAGGAUGGGCUCACGUCCUAUCAGCUUGUUGGUAGGGUAACGCCUACCAAGGCUACGACGGGUAGCUGGUCUGAGAGGACGAUCAGCCACACUGGCACUGCGACACGGGCCAGACUCCUACGGGAGGCAGCAGUGAGGAAUAUUGCGCAAUGGGCGAAAGCCUGACGCAGCGACGCCGCGUGGGGA
rnacentral:rRNA from 1 species